AACGAACGCUGGCGGCGUGGAUAAGACAUGCAAGUCGGACGCUGGAUUGUGUGUAGCAAUACUCGCAGUCUGGAGUGGCGUAAGGGUGCGUAACACGUGGGUAAUUUGCCUGGAAGCCCGGGAUAACUCCGAGAAAUCGGAGCUAAUACCGGAUGUGAUCAGGGGCUGGCAUCAGCUCCUGCUCAAAGUCGGGGACCGAAAGGCCUGACACUACCAGAUAAGCCCGCGGCCUAUCAGCUAGUUGGCGGGGUAACGGCCCACCAAGGCUAAGACGGGUAGCUGGUCUGAGAGGACGACCAGCCACACUGGAACUGAGACACGGUCCAGACACCUACGGGUGGCAGCAGUCGAGAAUUUUUCACAAUGGGGGAAACCCUGAUGGAGCGACGCCGCGUGGGGGAUGAAUGGCUUCGGCCCGUAAACCCCUGUCAUUUGCGAACAAACCUGGUGGUUGAACAAACUGCCAGCUGAUAGUAGCAGAAGAGGAAGGGACGGCUAACUCUGUG
rnacentral:rRNA from 1 species